rnacentral:rRNA from 1 species
GACGAACGCUGGCGGCGUGCCUAAUACAUGCCAGUAGAACGCUGAAGCGAGGAGCUUGCUCUUCUUGGAUGAGUUGCGAACGGGUGAGUAACGCGUAGGUAACCUGCCUUGUAGCGGGGGUUAACUAUUGGAAACGAUAGCUAAUACCGCAUAACAAUGGAUGACACAUGUCAUUUAUUUGAAAGGGGCAAUUGCUCCACUACAAGAUGGACCUGCGUUGUAUUAGCUAGUAGGUGAGGUAAUGGCUCACCUAGGCGACGAUACAUAGCCGACCUGAGAGGGUGAUCGGCCACACUGGGACUGAGACACGGCCCAGACUCCUACGGGAGGCAGCAGUAGGGAAUCUUCGGCAAUGGGGGCAACCCUGACCGAGCAACGCCGCGUGAGUGAAGAAGGGUUUCGGAUCGUAAAGCUCUGUUGUAAGUCAAGAACGGGUGUGAGAGUGGAAAGUUCACACUGUGACGGUAGCUUACCAGAAAGGGACGGCUAACUACGUG